rnacentral:rRNA from 1 species
CCUAUGGGUGGCAGCAGUGGGGAAUAUUGGGCAAUGGGCGCAAGCCUGACCCAGCAACGCCGCGUGAAGGAAGAAGGCUUUCGGGUUGUAAACUUCUUUUGACAGGGAAGAGGAGAAGACGGUACCUGUCGAAUAAGCCACGGCUAACUACGUGCCAGAAGCAGCGGUAAAACGUAGGUGGCAAGCGUUGUCCGGAUUUACUGGGUGUAAAGGGCGUGUAGCCGGGUUGACAAGUCAGAUGUGAAAUCCUGCGGCUUAACCGCAGAACUGCAUUUGAAACUGUUGAUCUUGAGUACUGGAGAGGCAGCCGGACUUCCUCGUGUAGCGGUGAUAUGCGUAGAUAUUAGGAGGCACACCAGUGGC